ACAGCAUCAUCAUCACGUGCACCAACAACAACAACGCUUAGAAAGGCUUCAACGAUAGCUGAAUUUAAACUGCUGGAAGGUUUUUCCCCACAAGAUAUCCACAGAUAUUCUCUCCUUAUAUUACAGCGUAUGAGAGGAAAGGAGGGAAAUGCAGGAAGGGAUUUCAUACAUUAUUCUGGCGAUAACCAGCACAAGAUUUAAUCUUAUGUCGACCAAGUCUUCCACCCCACAUCAGGGCUCAAAUUGCCUAAUGCAUGCCGAAUCACAAUUUUAAUAGGGCUACGCUAGAGUAUAGUACAGUAUAUACAUCGCCACCCAUGUGGCCUGGUCAACACGGAUUGGGGCAGGUUUUCAUCAGGAGAUGAUGGCGGGUCAGGUGGAUAGGAGAAUGUUGCUUCGAAGGCGUCCUCGUGAGGCUAUCCUACGGUGAGAUAGGUCUGACGUCCAUCGCGGUUCACCGGCCAAGUCUGUUUCCAACUUGAGAGAGCCUACAACACGCAGGAUCACCACAGGAACGUAGAAGGUGUGGCAGUGUACUUCGGUCGACGAUGCAGAUACGAUGGCCUUUACGACUGGAAAGUUCCCCCGAUGCAGAGCAAGAAUUAACCUGGCGUCGACCAAGACUUCAAGAUUUGCUGGUGGUCAACGAUCUGUGAGCACCUCAUGCAUCACGGGCCAAAAACUUGGAGUGGAACAGGCUUACGUUCGAGUAGGUCAGCGAGGAAAAGAACAGGUUUUCAUUAGGAGAUGGUGGCGGAUCAGGUGGAUAGGAGAAUAUUGCUUGGAUUGGAAGGCAUCCGCAUGCGGUGAGAUGAGGUCUGAUGCCACUCUGCUGAUCAUUCAAUUCGAUUUGCCGUUUGAAUGCGAGGACCCAGUUUUACUAUGAGAAGGAUCGAGGAGGAUGUGGAUAACGGACUCCGGUCGAUGGCCAUGCCGAUCCCCAUGGUUGGAAGGUUCACCCGAUGCAGUCUCGUCAUGGUGAGGGGUGAUCAAAGAUCCAGUUGGUCUUCUGUAUGUCUUCCGCUGGCCCGAGCCCAGGGACUUUACGUUAUGACCAGGGACGGAUCCAGGAUUUUCCAAAAGGGGGGACAAUUUUUUCGGAGGAAAAUUUUGGCAAGCCCCCCCCCCCAAAAAAAAAAAAUUAAAAAUAGUUCGUAUACACAAAAAAAAAUUGACAAGAAAGAAAAGAUGGUCUUAAAUUUCAGAAGAGGGGGCAAACCUCUGUUUUAAUGGCAUUUUUAAAAUACAAAUUUUAAUUUUGCUUCUCAAAGGGGGGCACGUGCCCCCUAUGUCCCCCUUGAUCCGCGCCUGGUUAUGACCAAUAUGACCAACAUCAUCUUGAACUAGGUCGACCAAGACCUUCCUCGCAUGAACGACAACGCUAAUUACCCCUUCCCAUGAUCUGUUUUGGGUUUUCAUGGCGUAUACUGGGCCCCGUCUUACAAAGAGUUACGAUCAAUUGUAACUCUAUGGAAAUCCAUCAAUGUCGUAUUUUUUUCUACAGGAAAUUUGCAAAAUGUCCUUUGUAAACAAAGGAGAACACACCAAAUUGUCAAUAAAUCAAUGAAUUUAUGGAUAUAAAUUCAUCAUGUUCAUAUCUAGAUUUUUUUUUGAACAGACAUGCCUUUCAUAAUGUUGACUUUGCUGGCUUUCCACAGUUUCGAUUGAUUGGAUCAAUCGCAACUCUUUGUAAGACGGGACCCUGGUGAAAAACUAUAGGUAACACAACCUUUGCCGACUACCUUGAGUAGGGAAUGUUUGUAUUUUACACAUUUACUGUAUGUGAAUUCUCAACUGGUUUCUGUUUAAUUUGCGGGGUGUUCCCAUGUAUGCUGUGACAUAAAGUCCCUGAAUUUCUCAAGGAAGAGGCUGUAUAAUGUCAUCAUGUCAAACAUAAUAAUAAUGAUUGUUUAAUGCUUCAUUAGGAUUUUAGCAGAUAUACCGCAUGCGGUCCAUGGCGAUGAAAAAAUGAAUUGAAUAACUGAUUGUUGAAGAAAUAUGCCUUUGGAGGCUUUUAAAAUGACAUCGUCUUCUAAAGCUUCAACGCUUUGCUUCCUUGCACUAUUCUCUCGAAAUCUCAUUAUUUCACACUCCUAUUUAUUCCUUAUAAAACUGCCUUUUCAUAGGCCUAUUCGGGGUUCAGUAUAGCAGCGUUUAUAAAUCCGAGGGCAGCAUGCAGUUUGAGUGGGCAGAAUUUUUUUUUUGAUGAAGAUGAAUAUGGGGCCUGAUAUUUAUAAUACAAAAGCUAAAUGCACUUGGCCAAAAAUGAAGCUUGGGGUUUGAAUUCCAUGAAUUCCACAUCUUUUUUUUUUGCUCAGAUGCCUCGCUCACUCAUCUAUUAAAUGUUUUUUUUUUUUUAAAGAUUAUCCUUCAGAAUCUCAUAGUAUUUUGACAAAACUUGUUGGUUAAAAGGUUCAACAUUAAUUCGGUUACUUACGAAAGGAAUAUGCUUUGAAUAUUUGUCAUUUCUUAAACGAAACAGCAUAGCCGGUGGAAGUGGGGAGGGGGGGGGGCAGGAUCAUUUCAAAACAGGUAUAAAAGUGUGGGGAGAAACACGCAUAUUCUGUGGAAAGUUCUGAUCACAUACGUGAUCGUAGAACUUCCCCCUCCUCCAAAAAUGUGAAAGCUCGCAUUUUUCCGUUCAAAAUUUAUCUGAAUUAAAAAUAAACGUUACGCGGCUUUUCAUUUUAUAUGUGGCCUCAGUGGCCGCUAAAAUAUUAAUGCGAAGGAACAAGCACCCGGUUUUUUGUAAAUAGUAUAUAAAUAUUUAAAAUGCAAAAGAAUAUUACAUUGUAAAGUUUGCAUGAAAGUGGCUCCAAUGGUGACAUGUGUCUAAUAAAUUCAUAGCCAUUUUAUGCCCAUAAAACUAACAAAACAUACACUGAAAUUGAAUGGUAAAGAUGAUCAAAAUAAAAUGUUUUUCGUGUUUUCAUAAUUCAAAAAACAAUGAAUUGAAAGUAGAAUCAUAAAAAAUGAGAAAUAAAAUUAUGUCCCUUCUGUCGGCUAUGCUGCGUACUUAUGUUUCCUUUAUGGGUUGUUUUACAAUCAGGGAAUAUCAAUUAAAAAUGCUCUCUGUGCAUC